rnacentral:rRNA from 1 species
GAGAGUUUGAUCCCAGCUCAGGAUGAACGCUAGCGGUGCGCCUAACACAUGCAAGUCGAGCGAUCGAGCCGGACCAAUCACCCUUCGGGGUGUGCGGACUGGUGACGGAGCGGCGGACUGGUGAGUAACGCGUAGCUAACCUGCCCCCUUGACGGGGAUAACUGCUCGAAAGGGCAGCUAAUACCCGAUGUUGCUCCCGAUCGAUGGAUCGGUAGCCAAAGGCGGUCCUGCCGUCGCAAGGGGAGGGGGCUGCGUCCUAUUAGCUAGUUGGUGAGGUAACGGCUCACCAAGGCGAUGAUGGGUAGCUGGUCUGAGAGGAUGGCCAGCCACAUUGGGACUGAGAUACGGCCCAGACUCCUACGGGAGGCAGCAGUGGGGAAUCUUUCGCAAUGGGCGAAAGCCUGACGGAGCGACACCGCGUGGGGGAUGAAGGCCUUCGGGUUGUAAACCCCUUUUCUGGGGGAAGAAUAAGGACGGGAGGAAAUGCCCGUCCGAUGACGGUACCCCAGGAAUAAGCAUCGGCUAACUUCGUGCCAGCAGCCGCGGUAAGACGAAGGAUGCGAGCGUUAUCCGGAAUUACUGGGCGUAAAGGACGUCUAGGCGGUUGGGUAAGUCACCUGUGAAAGCCCUCGGCUCAACCGAGGAAUUGCGGGUGAUACUGCCCGGCUUGGGUGCAGGAGAGGGGGGUGGAACUCACAGAGUAGCGGUGGAAUGCGUAGAUACUGUGAGGUACCCCGAUGGCGAAGGCAACCCCCUGGCCUGCUACCGACGCUGAAGCGUGAAAGCGUGGGGAGCGAAGGGGAUUAGAUACCCCCGUAGUCCACGCCCCAAACGAUGUUCACUUGGUGUCGGUCGCUUAGAUUGAUCGGUGCCGAAGCUAACGCGUUAAGUGAACCGCCUGGGGAGUACGGCCGCAAGGCUAAAACUCAAGAGAAUUGACGGGUCCCCGCACAAGCGGUGGAGCACGUGGUUUAAUUCGAUGCUAAACGAAGAACCUCACCUGGGCUUGACAUGCUAGUGGUAGGAACCGGAAACGGGGACGACCCUUCCCUUCGGGGUUGGGAGCUAGCACAGGU